UACGUAGGGAGCAAGCGUUGUUCGGAUUUACUGGGCGUAAAGGGCGCGUAGGCGGCAAUUCAAGUCAGCUGUGAAAUCUCCGGGCUUAACUCGGAACGGUCAACCGAUACUGCGGGGCUAGAGUGCAGAAGGGGCAACUGGAAUUCUCGGUGUAGCGGUGAAAUGCGUAGAUAUCGAGAGGAACACCUGCGGCGAAGGCGGGUUGCUGGGCUGACACUGACGCUGAUGUGCGAAAGCUAGGGGAGCGAACGGG
rnacentral:rRNA from 1 species